UCACUUGCCCCACCUUCUUACAAAACCACAAGAGAAUGUAUGAUGGAUAGAUACUUUAUAAAGGAACACCUUCUGAUUUUCACAAAUGUUUUCAAAGUCCUUUGAAAACCGCACUGGAAGGAAAUCCUAUUUUUGUAUCCUGCGAAUCCGAGAGUCUGUUCCUGAAGUUGGGCAACCCAAGGGUUGGUUAGCAGUUCCUGAAAAGGACCUUUCCAACGAGGUUGAAGAGUCUGGAGUUAAUCUUCUCCGACACACGGAACCUCCGCGUUGCAAGGUUUAAUGCUUAAGGUUGUCAUCUCUCAGAAGUGCGGCGUAGAAAGAUUGUACUUACCAAGUUGUGGUUAUUUUUUAAUAAAAGCGAUUAGGCCUUCUCAC